GAUGAACGCUGGCGGCGUGCCUAAUACAUGCAAGUCGAGCGAACGGACGAGAAGCUUGCUUCUCUGAUGUUAGCGGCGGACGGGUGAGUAACACGUGGAUAACCUACCUAUAAGACUGGGAUAACUUCGGGAAACCGGAGCUAAUACCGGAUAAUAUUUUGAACCGCAUGGUUCAAAAGUGAAAGACGGUCUUGCCGUCACUUAUAGAUGGUUCCGCGCUGCAUUAGCUAGUUGGUAAGGUAACGGCUUACCAAGGCAACGAUGCAUAGCCGACCUGAGAGGGUGAUCGGCAACACUGGAAGUGAGACACGAUCCAGACACCGAGGGGAGGCAGCAGUAGGGAAUCGUCCGCAAAGGGCGAAAGCCUGACGGAGCAACGCCGGGUGAGUGAUGAAGGUCUGCGGAUCGUAAAACGCUGUUAUGAGGGAAGAACAUAUGUGUAAGUAACUGUGCACGUCUGGACGGUACCUAAUAAGAAAGCCACGGCUAACUACGG
rnacentral:rRNA from 1 species